GAUGAACGCUGGCGGCGUGCCUAAUACAUGCAAGUCGAGCGAACGGACGAGAAGCUUGCUUCUCUGAUGUUAGCGGCGGACGGGUGAGUAACACGUGGAUAACCUACCUAUAAGACUGGGAUAACUUCGGGAAACCGGAGCUAAUACCGGAUAAUAUUUUGAACCGCAUGGUUCAAAAGUGAAAGACGGUCUUGCUGUCGCUUAUAGAUGGAUCCGCGCUGCAUUAGCUAGUUGGUAAGGUAACGGCUUACCAAGGCAACGAUGCAUAGCCGACCUGAGAGGGUGAUCGGCCACACUGGAACUGAGACACGGUCCAGACCCCUACGGGAGGCAGCAGUAGGGAAUCUUCCGCAAUGGGCGAAAGCCUGACGGAGCAACGCCGCGUGAGUGAUGAAGGUCUUCGGAUCGUAAAACUCUGUUAUUAGGGAAGAACAUAUGUGUAAGUAACUGUGCACAUCUUGACGGUACCUAAUCAGAAAGCCACGGCUAACUACGUG
rnacentral:rRNA from 1 species